rnacentral:rRNA from 1 species
CGGGGUGAGUAACGCGUGGAUAACCUGCCUUACACUCGGGGGAUAACACUUAGAAAUAGGUGCUAAUACCGCAUAAGCGCACAGAGCCGCAUGGCUCAGUGUGUAAAAACUUCGGUGGUGUAAGAUGGAUCCGCGUCUGAUUAGCUGGGUUGGCCGGGGUAGAAGCCCACCAAGGCGACGAUCAGUAGCCGGCCUGAGAGGGUGAACGGCCACAUUGGGACUGAGACACGGCCCAAACUCCUACGGAAGGCAGCAG